rnacentral:rRNA from 1 species
AUUGAACGCUGGCGGCAGGCCUAACACAUGCAAGUCGACCGAGUGGCGGCCGGGUGAGACAUGUCUGGGAACCUGCCUGAUGGCGGGGGAUACCUACUGGAAACGGUCGCUAAUACCGCAUACCCUCAGAUGUGCCCAGAUUGGAUUAGCUGGUUGGUGGGGUAACGGCUAACCAAGGCGAAGAUCCCUAGCUGGUCUGAGAGGGUGACCAGCCACACUGGAACUAGGAGCCGUUCCAGAAGCCUACGGGAGGCAGCAGUGGGGAAUAUUGAACAAUGGGCGAAAGCCUGAUGCAGGAACGCCGCGUGUAUGAAGAAGGCCUUCGGGUUGUAAAGUACUUUUAGCGGGGAGGCGUUACCCGCAUAAGAAGCACCGGCUAACUCCGUGCCAGCAGCCGCGGUAAUAC